GGGCCCUUAGCUCAGCUGGGAGAGCGCGUCGCUGGCAGCGACGAGGUCACCGGUUCGAUCCCGGUAGGGUCCACCA
rnacentral:tRNA from 1 species